GANUAAUCGUGAAACCGCGAAUGGCUCAUUAUAACAGCUAUAAUUUACUUGAUCUUGACACAAUCCUACUUGGAUAACUGUGGUAAUUCUAGAGCUAAUACAUGCAUUAAAGCUCUGACCUCACGGGAAGAGUGCAUUUAUUAGAACAAAACCAAGCGGCUUCGGCUGUUUCUGGUUGACUCAUAGUAACUGAGCUGAUCGCAUGGUCUUGCACCGGCGACGUGUCUUUCAAGUAUCUGCCGUAUCAACUUUCGAUGGUAGUGUAUCUGACUACCAUGGUGAUCACGCGUAACGGAGAAUAAGGGUUCGGCUCCGGAGAGUUCGCCUGAGAAAUCGCGAACACAUCUAAGGAAGGCAGCAGGCGCGAAAAUUACCCACUCUCAGCACGAGGAGGUAGUGACGAAAAAUAACGAGACCGUUCUCUUAUGAGGCCGGUCAUCGGAAUGGGUACAAUUUAAACCCUUUAACGAGUAUCUAUGAGAGGGCAAGUCUGGUGCCAGCAGCCGCGGUAAUUCCAGCUCUCAAAGUG
rnacentral:rRNA from 1 species